UACGUAGGGUGCGAGCGUUAAUCGGAAUUACUGGGCGUAAAGGGUGCGCAGGCGGCGUCGCAAGUCAGGCGUGAAAUCCCCGGGCUUGACCUGGGAACUGCACUUGAAACUACGAUGCUGGAGUAUGGCAGAGGGAGGUGGAAUUCCACGUGUAGCGGUGAAAUGCGUAGAGAUGUGGAGGAACACCGAUGGCGAAGGCAGCCUCCUGGGCCAAUAUUGACGCUGAUGCGCGAAAGCCAGGGGAGCAAACGGG
rnacentral:rRNA from 1 species